rnacentral:rRNA from 1 species
AGAACGAACGCUGGCGGCAUGCCUAACACAUGCAAGUCGAACGGGACCUUCGGGUCUAGUGGCGCACGGGUGCGUAACGCGUGGGGAUCUGCCCUUAGGUACGGAAUAACUCAGGGAAACUUGAGCUAAUACCGUAUAAUGACUUCGGUCCAAAGAUUUAUCGCCUAGGGAUGAACCCGCGUAGGAUUAGCUUGUUGGUGAGGUAAAGGCUCACCAAGGCGACGAUCCUUAGCUGGUCUGAGAGGAUGAUCAGCCACACUGGGACUGAGACACGGCCCAGACUCCUACGGGAGGCAGCAGUGGGGAAUAUUGGACAAUGGGCGAAAGCCUGAUCCAGCAAUGCCGCGUGAGUGAUGAAGGCCUUAGGGUUGUAAAGCUCUUUUACCCGGGAUGAUAAUGACAGUACCGGAGAAUAAGCUCCGGCUAACUCCGUGCCAGCAGCCGC